ACACGUCCACAGACACGGGAGGGAGAGGGUGUGGAAUGGAGCAGUGGUCCCCAACAUUUUUGGCACUAGGGACCGGUUUCGUGGAAGACAGUUUUUCCACGGACCGCGGGGGCGGGGGGAAGAGUUGGGGGAUGGUUUCGGGAUGAAACUGUUCCACCUCAGAUCAUCAGGCAUCACUUAGAUUCUCAUAAGGAGUGCAGUUUAGAUCCCUGGCAUGCGCAGUUCCCAAUAGGGUUCGCGCUCCUGUGAGAUUCUAAUGCCACCACUGAUCUCACAGGAGGCGGAGCUCAGGCGGUACUGGUAGCUAGCCCGGAGUUCACCUCCUGCUGUACAGCCGGGUCCCUAACAGGCCAUGGACAGGUGCGCGGCCCAAGGGUUGGGAACCCCUGAAAUAGAGGACAUCUGGGCAAACCCAAUGUUUCUGUGUGAAUUCGCUUUUGGAGAUAAUAUUUGCAGCUCAUUCAAAAGGAAGGCCACAUUUCUCUGCGUUAAAAUCAAAUUUAGUGACCCAAGUCUCGCCCCUAAAGUCGGGCCCUUAAUUUCCCAAAACCCCACUGGCACAUGAAACCUUGCCUCACAACGUGCAUCUCUCUUCUGGACGCCUGGCCGGAGCGGCCAUUGCUGGCUCUUCCCGUUUCAGAAGUGGAACCUUGAUCUCUACUCCAAAUAUGCCCAGACCCGGGGCUUGAGAAUAGCUUAAAGGGCUAUUGUCUCGCCUAGCUGUCCCCAUUUCCCGCCCGGCAGUCAGCAGGGCUCUCGCCGCCAGUCCGCAAGCCAGGGCGUGGGCAGAGGCUGACGGUGAUUUCCACCGCCUGUGUAAUGGAUUCCGCCGCAUUCCAGGAGCUAAAGCAGCAUUACUACUGGAACCUAAAGGAAACGUUCUGCUGAGCUAGUGUUUGGAAGCUCUGAACAGAGGAAAGAAGCUCUAAUUUGCCACAUUUUCUGUGACUUAGUUCAGAAAGACUAGAAGGGGAGUUUUUCAAAAAACACCUGAAUCAAGAAAGUAGUUUCGCAAGGCCCCAGCGAGAUUUGAACUCGCGACCCCUGGUUUACAAGACCAGUGCUCUAACCCCUGAGCUAUAGGGCCUCACGCAGAAACCGCCUCUUCCUUUCACAGAAAAGGAAAAGAUUUGCAGGGCUUCUGCCAGCAUCUGAGCAUAGAAACUAAGUAAAACCUGGAUGUCCUUUCAAUCCAUUUCCCGACUACUAGAAUUCGGUUCACAGACUCAGUGUUCUUGCUGGGGAUGGUACAAAGUGAAGGCCAGUGAGAGGGACCACUACUAUCCUAAGAUUGGAGAAAUCUGCCCAACGCGACACAGUCUAACACAGAAAGAUUCUCCACUCCCUCACUUCAGACUGAAAAUUAAGAAGGGAAAACCGGCAGAGGAAGGAGCUCACCACAGGUCUCACUUGAAACUGCUGACAUCCGCAUUUUGUUUCCUGCUUGACUCAGGACUUCGUACCAGCAACUGUCUGCCUCCAGAGACCUUUCUCACAGCUGCGAGUCUCAGUGCCAGAGCAGGCAUUCGUUAAUUUGCAGUUUAAUUCAUUCCUUCAUUCAACAAACACUGCAUUCCAGUUCUGUACUAGGCUCUGCACUAAGAAUUAGGGAUCCAGAUAUGAUCUUUAUCCUGAAGUCACUGUCACAGUUUUGUGGAACAAAAGAACUUUAGUUUUCAUGAAGGAAAACAAUGAAAAGUAGCUGUGCCAGGUGUGAAGGGGCGUUGGCCAUGCCAAGGUCCACACAUUUACAAAGUGAACCAUCCGGGGGUGUCUUCAAGAGGGCAUUGGCCUGAGCUGCACUAUGAAGGGAGGUUAAGACUUAGACAAAAAUGGGAGCAGGGUGGUCCCUGGUAGAAUAAAAUUACGAGCAAAGUCCGAGAGAAAGACUGAGACAUUCAAGGGAACACUGGCUGGGGCAGCAGGUGAGAAGAUUAGUAGAAGAAAAUAGAAAUUCACCAAACAUUGAUGAGUUUGCGGAAUUAAUUGAAGGGACGAGCAACCAGAGUCAGAAACACCAGUGACUGGCCAUGGUGAAGAUGCUCAAACAUAAAGCUGCAAAAAGGCUAGUCAAGUGAAG
rnacentral:tRNA from 10 species